UCAUGCAAAAUCACGAGCACCAGUCUGGAAGUGUUUGGAAAGAAGGGUUUUCAUACAGCAGCGUUUCCCCCCCCCCCCCCGCUCACGCCUCCCCCUGAACGGUAGGACUGGAGGGGGAUCGCAGCCCACACAUGCCAGCGCACAAAGCCCGGCAUUCAUGCAUCGGUCCGCCGUGCUCGACGCCCACUGCUGUGACGGCGUACAGACAGAAAGACGGCCAGCAGGACGGGGAAAGGCAGAGCUGAUGUUCCAUGGAAAGGAAAAACAGGAAUAGCGCUGAAUGAAUAGUACCCUCGACACACCUAGCCGGCGCUGCAGCUCCGGGCUCUGAAGGGUGCAGUGUUCGGGGACAACGCGGCAGUGUUUUGGCCUCAACCGCUUUUAAUCGUGGAGGGAAGUAGAGGUGUAACUGCUACUACGGUCCUGUAGAUCCCGCUGAGUGGAGUGGUGCUCAUACUGGGGAGAGUGUUAAGAAGGUUUGACUUAUUUAAAUAAAGGAGUUUGGAUGCCACACAUCUAACAUCUGACAGGAAUCGGGUCUCUAAUGCAAACAAACCCUUUCUGCUCCCGAGCUGACCGCUAAAAAACGUUGUGAGACGAGUCUUACUCUCGUAAUUGUUUUUCCAGUAGCAGAGCUAAGUUGAGUAAAGAGCUGACGUGUGCUGUGAGGGGAGAAAGGGUGUCGUGCAUCAUGGAACUAUGGAGUCGGGCCUGGUUUUGCCACGAAUGGCAUCACUGGCUUGAAACGCUGGAGUGACCAGGCACACAGAAUAAGACAAUGUUCCUUUGCUAAGUGUUGGCGACCAGAGAAAGGCUCCUUCAUCCGGGGACGAGAUCUCCUGUCACUCCUCUGCUCAUCGGCCCGGGUUCUCCUGCCAAGCUGAGACAGCUCCGAUCCACUGGGUGUGCUUCGGAUGUUUGCGUCUGACGGAAUAAAAAGGGUUCAGUGGUUCCUGUUGCCCCCUUUAACUUCCAUGCCUUCAUUUGUCCAGGGUGGGUGCUGCAGGUCCUGCUGCUGUCCACAGAGCUGAAGACUAGCAGAGGUUUCCUGCCGCGCAGAGAUGCAGAGAUCACCGUCAUGUACGUUCAGCCCUGAGACUAAAGGGAAGGAGACAGAAGUUCAUCUACCACACACACACACAACAUGGCUUCUGCAGACCUGAGAGAAGCGCUGGCUUUAGCUGCUCCCCGUGCCACAUGGCCCCAUCCAGGGGCCCCAACACACCCAGGAGAUGCUACGUGCUGUGUCUCUUGGGGGUUUAUUGAAAACUUCGACCCACACAUCGCCAACAUCACAUUAAUACGUCUAUCGGCGCUGAGGAGGCAGCGAGGGAUGAAACCAUUACCCGCCGGUGAAGACAAAGCGGCGGGGCAGAUAUGAGCCUGGAGAAGUCCUGGAGAAGUCCUGGAGAAGAAGCAGCCGGUGUUUUUGAAGGCCACAACCCUGGAGGAGUUCCUGAGAGCCGUCCUGCACAGCGCAGCACGUCACGGCCUUCCAUGCAGUAUUUCAUGUCCCCGUCUGCCCCCUGCAGGCCCUGCUGCUGUGAUUUAGAGCCAGAUGAGAGAGGAGGACGCAGGAGGCCCUGGAUGAAGGAAUGCUUCCACCCUUCCUGAUGUUAACUGCCCCACUGGGAGGAACACCAGCAGGGACCUCUAAGGAUGCGACACUGCAGAGCUUUCACUCAAAACCCCCACGUCAGGUCAUACUUUUUAGAGGUGCUCUAAAUCAGUGGCGCACAACCUCCGAGUCAUUCGUGUGCAAAAUAUAAAAAAUGUUUUGAAUUUGGAAAAAUGGCGGCAUCCUCUCCCAAUUACAUGUGCUUGGUCCUGUUUUUGGUCUGACGCUUUACUGCUUGGUUGUACAAUGUUUUCAUUAUAAUCCUACAAACAACGUAACAGCUUUUGCCUGGUCAGCGUCAGCCAGAACUAUUGCUGUUUGCUUGGGGGUUCAAAUACUUAUUUUCUGCAUCAAAUGCAAAUAAAGUCAGA
ensembl:lncRNA